GUGGACUACCAUGGCAUUAACGGGUAACGGAGAAUUAGGGUUCGAUUCCGGAGAGGCAGCCUGAGAAACGGCUACCACAUCUAUGGAUGGCAGCAGGCGCGUAAAUUACCCAAUCCUAAUUCAGGGAGGUAGUGACAAGAAAUAACAGUAUCGGAUUUAAAAAUAGAAUCUGGUAAUUGUAAUGAGAACAAUUUAAAAAUCUUAACGAAUGCAACUGGAGGGCAAGUCUGGUGCCAGCAGCCGCGGUAACUCCAGCUCCAGUAGCGUAUAUUAAAGUUGUUGCAGUUAAGAAGCUCGUAGUUGGAUUUCUGAUCUACAGUAUCGGUAGUCUUCUUUAGAUUUAUCAUACUCGGGUCAUCCUCUUAAGACUGAUCUUUUGAUUGGUUUUGAGACUUUUACUUUGAAGAAAAUAGAGUGUUCAAAGCAGGCUUACGCUAUGAAUACAUUAGCAUGGAAUAAUAAGAUAGGACUUUAGUUUCUAUUUUGUUGGUCAUAAGGACUAAAGUAAUGAUUGAUAGGGACAGUUGGGGGUGCUAGUAUUAUUUGGCCAGAGGUGAAAUUCAGAAAUUCUUAUAAGACUAACUAAUGCGAAAGCAUUCACCAAGGAUGUCUUCUUUAAUCAAGAACGAAAGUUGGGGGAUCGAAGACGAUCAGAUACCGUCGUAGUCUCAACCAUAAACUAUGCCGACUAGGUAUUGGUAUACAUUGUUCACCGAGUAUAUCAGCACUUUAUGAGAGAUCAAAGUCUUUGGGUUCCGGGGGGAGUAUGGUCGCAAGACUGAAACUUAAAGGAAUUGACGGAAGGGCACCACCAGGAGUGGAGCCUGCGGCUCAAUUUGACCCAACACGGGAAAACUUACCAGGUCCAGACAUUUGGAGGAUUGACAGGUUGAAGAUCUUUCUUGAUUCUAUGAUUGGUGGUGCAUGGCCGUUCUUAGUUGGUGGAGUGAUUUGUCAGGUUAAUUCCGAUAACGAACGAGACCUCGACCUACUAAAUAGUUACAUUAAAUCUAUGAUUUGGUGUAUAAUUACUUCUUAGAGAGACUACGUUUUAAGACUGUAGAAGUUCGAGGCAAUAACAGGUCUGUGAUGCCCUUAGAUGUCCUGGGCUGCACGCGCGCUACAAUGAUAUGUUCAACAAGUUUUACCUUGACCGUUAGGUAUGGGGUAAUCUUUUAAAAGCAUAUCGUGCUGGGGAUAGAUUAUUGCAAUUAUUAAUCUUAAACGAGGAAUUCCUAGUAAACGCAAGUCAUCAACUUGCAUUGAUUACGUCCCUGCCCUUUGUACACACCGCCCGUCGCUACUACCGAUCGGAUGGUUUAGUGAGCUUCCUGGAUUAGGGAUUCCUGUACUUGUACAGUGUCCAUUAAGAAGGGAAUCGAACUUGAUCAUCUAGAGGAAGUAAAAGUCGUAACAAGGUU
rnacentral:rRNA from 1 species